AUUUUCCAAAGAAAUAUAAUUAAAUCUCAAACCGACGUCUAACCGGGUCGUUUAUUAAAAUCAUAAAAGUAUACAAAAAUAUUAAUUAUCAUUCGUCGAAAUAUGCUACUAACUAAUUUGUUAUUAUCCGGAAAUAUUUUAAUCAGAGAUAAGACACAACAUGUGAAAGUGCGGCAUAUACACAACAGAUACACGAGGAUUGGCACUCCCAAUAAUCUAUUGAUAAUAUUAUCACGUGACAUGAUGCUGAUUAAUGUAUGAUCGCACGUGUGUGACGGCCUUUUUCAAACGCGGCAGCGAUCAUGAAGUGUGAUACAAACACAGAAGAUUGUACAAUUUUCCUGGACAAUUUUAGGACCGUUUUCAGGAAAGAAUAAUUCAUAGAAAUAUAUUAGGGACAGAGCAGUAACUUAAAGAGUUUUAGGGGAAAAGGAUUCAAGGAAAGAGGCAAGGAUUUGUAUAUUAAUACUAUACAAAUCCUUGAAAGAGGUAGUAGCUGUCAAGGAAGAGUAAUGGAUGCCUACACAAAAAUAACAGAAGCUGAAUUAAAGAAGGAUUGUGCACCAGAAAUGGUUGGAGGAGUUUAGAGACUACAAUUCUUUUUUACGACAAUAUUAAAAAUGAAUUAAG